GAUGAACGCUGGCGGCGUGCCUAAUACAUGCAAGUCGAGCGAAUGGAUUAAGAGCUUGCUCUUAUGAAGUUAGCGGCGGACGGGUGAGUAACACGUGGGUAACCUGCCCAUAAGACUGGGAUAACUCCGGGAAACCGGGGCUAAUACCGGAUAACAUUUUGAACCGCAUGGUUCGAAAUUGAAAGGCGGCUUCGGCUGUCACUUAUGGAUGGACCCGCGUCGCAUUAGCUAGUUGGUGAGGUAACGGCUCACCAAGGCAACGAUGCGUAGCCGACCUGGGAGGGUGAUCGGCGACACUGGGACUGAGACACGGCCCAGACACCUACGGGAGGCAGAAGUAGGGAAUCUUCCGCAAUGGACGAAAGUCUGACGGAGCAACGCCGCGUGAGUGAUGAUGGCUUUCGGGUCGUAAAACUCUGUUGUUAGGGAAGAACAAGUGCUAGUUGAAUAAGCUGGCACCUUGACGGUACCUAACCAGAAAGCCACGGCUAACUACGUGCCAGCAGCCGCUGUAA
rnacentral:rRNA from 1 species